rnacentral:rRNA from 1 species
ACGGGUGAGUAACACGUGGGAACGUACCCUUUUCUACGGAAUAACCCAGGGAAACUUGGACUAAUACCGUAUGUGCCCUUCGGGGGAAAGAUUUAUCGGAAAAGGAUCGGCCCGCGUUGGAUUAGCUAGUUGGUGGGGUAAAGGCCUACCAAGGCGACGAUCCAUAGCUGGUCUGAGAGGAUGAUCAGCCACAUUGGGACUGAGACACGGCCCAAACUCCUACGGGAGGCAGCAGGGGGGAAUAUUGGACAAUGGGCGCAAGCCUGAUCCAGCCAUGCCGCGUGUGUGAUGAAGGCCUUAGGGUUGUAAAGCACUUUCACCGGAGAAGAUAAUGACGGUAUCCGGAGAAGAAGCCCCGGCUAACUUCGUGCCAGCAGCCGCGGUAAUACGAAGGGGGCUAGCGUUGUUCGGAUUUACUGGGCGUAAAGCGCACGUAGGCGGAUCGAUCAGUCAGGGGUGAAAUCCCAGAGCUCAACUCUGGAACUGCCUUUGAUACUGUCGAUCUGGAGUAUGGAAGAGGUGAGUGGAAUUCCGAGUGUAGAGGUGAAAUUCGUAGA